UAUAUAUAUAUAUUGAUACAUGUAUGAAUUAAUAAAAUGUACAAACCUAAGAAUGAGGUGAGAUCAUCAAAUUACCAAAGAGAUAUCUCUUAGAUUUCUAAGAGAUUUUAAAGGACUAGAACCUUGGUCAGGACGUUUUACACCCUGAGUCUUCGAGAGCCAGGCUGAAGUUGAAGUAAACACAGUUGUUACAGUGUGUUCAUACUCUUUCCGUGCUGAACGUAAACGCGCUUUUUAAUUAACACGGAAGGUGAGGACAUGUGGUGUUUGUCGUAGCAUUUAGGUGCAUAGGCUUUUUUUUAUAUCAUCCUGCACAGCGAUAAGGAGGAGCAUCUUUUGUACUUUUUCUUGAAUUUAGAUGUCGUCUAAUCCUCAGGCUAGGAGGAAACAAUAAAUAUAAAUAUUUUAUCAUGACAUGCAUAUAUUUAAUUGCUAGAUUGUACCAUAUUCAAUAUCCAGGUGCUAGAUCACCUCACAUGAACAACUACUUGUCUUUGUCGACGCUUUGAAUUAAAAUUUAUAUAUAUGCGAGCGUUGAACCUGGUUGUAAAAUUAGUUUUUUCAUUUACUUGUAAUUUACAAAUACUACAAUGAGCUGAAUUCUUCUUAAGUUAGUGUCUGGCUGUUUAGACUGGUGCGAUAUAGUGUAAUAGAUACUUUCUGUCUCAUGGUUUGCAUCUGGGGGGUGGGAGGGGUACUACGCUGCAUCUCAUGGCAUAAUGCCUUCAAUAUGUGCCACCGUACAAACUUUAGUGAGCUAGUUAUUGAGAGGCAACACGAAGAUGUUAUUGCAUAUUCUUCUCCUAUUAAUAUGAAUAAUUUCAGUUACCAUUUAUAAGGAAGUAAAUCGAUGUGGUGCCUGUGCGUCUGCUAUAUUUUGUAAACAGCAAACAUUUAGCGCUCCCGUCUGCUUUAUUUGGUAGCAUUGUGUUUGUUGUCGUACAAUAUACAAACAGAAAGACAUUAUUCGUAUAUAUUCUUAAGUUCACCUUAUGAAUGAAAAAAUAAAAGUGGCGUCCAUAUGUUGAGACAUCAUUCAUAACUCAGCAUUAUAAUAAUAAUGACGGUUCUCAUAAGAUGCAAUAUCAGUCUCGAGGUUAAGUAUAAGCAUCAUUUUAGUAUUUAUAUGACUACAAAAAGACAUUAUUAAUCCAAGAGAGCAGAGACAGGUUCGUUGACGUUGACUGAGUUAUUUGACGUCAAUAAGCAACGAAUAUACCUCACUUCAUGUAUGACCCGCAAUAGUACCCACUUACUGCUGACUUUCCUACUGCUGACCCUAUACUACUACUACCCUCUUAUUGAUGAUGCAUUUACUACUGACAGUCUCACCGCUGAUCCUAUUCUACUAACUUUCUCCUGCUGACCCACUUGUUGUUGACUCUCAACUCCAGAUCCUAUUUCUGCUCAUCCUCUACUGCUGACACUCUUAUAGUGCCCCAGCCUAAUGCUGACUAUUUAAUGGUGACCGUCUACUGCUUACCCUCUUACGGCUGACCUGCUGUUUAUCCCCUUACCACUGACCCCUCUAUAACUACUGACUCUUACUGAUAUCUUUCUUUUACUGAGCUGCUACUACUGACCUGCUGUUGAAACUCUUGCUGACCCUCAUCCCUUAAAUUAUUUGAAAAUAUAUCUGGAUGCAUUAGAUGUUAUUAGAAAAUUUGUUAGAUAAAGAGAUAUUUUAAUAAGACUAUAGAAAAAACUGGGAUUGCUGGCUGAAUUUUGUGGCCCAAAUAUAUUCGAACAAAUAUUCAUAUAUUGCAAAUUCAUCUGAAAGGAAACAAUUAAGAGUUUUUUUUCAGUGUUGUAAAACAUUAUACCUGGUGACUUUCAUAGUAAAUGGGCAGUUGAUCCAAUAAAUUAAUAAAUAACCCACACAUAUUUUGUAAAAAAAAGUUACAUUAUUUUUAUGGAUUGGUGAGGUUGGGGUUAGGGGGGGGGGAAGGUGACCAGUGUUGCAGAUGAUUUUUUUGUAUUAAGGAAAGAUGAAGCGGGCAGUAUUCCGGUGAGCUGACCAGUGGUGCAAGUGAUCUGGUGGUGGGGAAGGGGUGAGGUAUCCACUGUUAGAGAUAGUCCAGUGUUGAGGAGGGCUGUGUGUUGGAAAUGGUUCUGUGAUGAGGAAGAAUGAAGUGGCCAAUGCUGGGGUGAGGUGGCCAGUGCUGGGGUGAGGUGGCCAGUGCUGGGGUGAGGUGACCAGUGCUGGGGUGAGGUGGCCAGUGCUGGGGUGAGGUGGCCAGUGCUGGGGUGAGGUGACCAGUGCUGGGGUGAGGUGGCCAGUGCUGGGGUGAGGUGGCCAGUGCUGGGGUGAGGUGACCAGUGCUGGAGAUACGCCCGUAAUGGUGACAAAAGGAGAGAGAGUAAGCUUUUAAAAUUAUUGUACGUGAUAUGACCGUAUUUUCUUUGUUCAGCUGAAAUAGCCACUUGCCGGUAGUAGGGGAGUGGCAUCUCUCUCGCAUCCCUUUAAUGUUUCCAUCUCAUGUUAGGAGCCUCCCUCACCGCCUACUGUCUCCACCACAUGUAGGGAGCCCUCAUCCACUCCAUAUCUGUCCACACCUCAAGUCCCCUUUACUAUUUCUACGUAAUAGGAGGGGAUCUUUAUCCUUUGAUUCUGUCCACUACUCCUGUGAGGGGGCCUCUGUCACCUCUUCCCCUACAACUGUUCUCAGCUCACCAUCCUCUAAUAUGAGGCUCACCAUCUCAUCAAUCACUUGGCGCAAUAUAGCACAGAAUAUCAUUUUAUCAUGUGAUGUCCUGCUGCAAUAACCAGAAUUCAGUUAAAUCGGAUGAAGAUCGGGACUAUUCAAAGGUUCAAUAUAUGGCACUUUCUUGUGUUUCCGUCAACCUUGGCCAGCCCUGAGUAGCCAGGUGAAAAAAAUUACCUAGCCAUUGUUACUUGGCAUUAUAAAGCAAAUAAUAAAAAUGAUUAAAGCUUAGACAAAUAGGAAAAUUAAAGUAAUCUAAGAGAUUGGAUGGAAAUUUCAAAUAUUUGAAAAGAUUGUUGCUCCUUAAAGGAGUUACACUGACAUUGUUCACAGUCAACAGUUAUCAUAAAAAGUUCUAAUCAUCUUGAACGUUCACUAUGUAAUCUACAUAUGCUAAGCUGUGAGUCACGAAGCUUCAUUGGUAAUUUAUUCACUUAGGCUUAUCCAAUGGAUUGUAUAAAACUGAAUACAUUUAAAAUUAAUGCAAUGCAUUAAUAAUUAAGGAGCUCAGUACAACUUCACACAGCCUCUUGAGAAUUUAAGUUAUGUGGUAUAAUCAAAGUAAGGAUUGUAUUUUCCCUGAAGGAUAUAAGAGCUAAGCUCUGAUCUAAGAUUAUGUCUGACAAAUUUUGUUUCAAUAAAACAUUGUUUCCUUGUAUAGUAAAUUCGUUGCCUACUGGUA
rnacentral:lncRNA from 1 species